UACGGAAUGUGCAAACGUUAUUCGGAAUCACUGGGCUUAAAGAGUCCGUAGGCGGCCUGUUAGGUGAGGUGUGAAAUCCCCCGGCUCAACCGAGGAAUUGCGCUUCAAACCGGCAGGCUAGAGGAGGAUAGAGGUGGGCGGAACUGAUGGUGGAGCGGUGAAAUGCGUUGAUAUCAUCAGGAACACCGGAGGCGAAAGCGGUCCACUGGGUCCUUUCUGACGCUGAGGGACGAAAGCUAGGGGAGCGAACGGG
rnacentral:rRNA from 1 species